rnacentral:lncRNA from 13 species
GGGUGGGGGGAUAGGGGAGGGAUAGCAUUAGGAGAAAUACCUAGUGUAGAUGACAGGGUGAUGGGUGCAGCAAACCACCAUGGCACGCAUAUACCUAUGUAACAAACCUGCACGUUCUGCACAUGUACCCCAGAACUUAAAGUAUAAUAAUAAAACAAUUUAAAAAUAAUUUUUUUUUUAAAAAGAAAAUGAUUUCUCACUCGAAACUCAGGAGACAAACUUCUACUUUUGUUUCUGUAGCUCACUGGAAAAAAAAUGAUAGUUCCAUAUUUGAAUAAAAAAUGGAACAUCCAUUGGACAAUACUGAAAAUGACUUGCAGAAAAAGAGAGUAAGUAAAACAAUAGACUUUUCCAACCAUAUCAGCUUCAUUUAAACCAUGAGCAAGCCCUGGUCUGAAAUGUUUCACUGCCAGGGUUCCUUGCUUUUUUCAUGUGUGGUAUGGACCUCUUUGGCAGUUGAGCAGACCCCGUUUAGAAUGACCUUUUAAAAUGCAUACAAUAAAAUACAUAAAUUGAAAAAGAAACAAGAUAUGUUGGAAGGGAAUUAUUAAAAUAUUAAGAAAAACAAACUGGGGCUGUGUUAACAUUUUUCUUCUUUGUUAAGGCAUCUGAUAAUAAUGUCUAGCAACAGGGCUAGCAAUUACCAUAAUUUUGAAGCAUUGAUCUCUUUACAAAGAGAUGCCUGUGGGGAAAUCCUCUAAGUCUAGAGAAACUUCAGGCUUUUUCCUGGAGUUUGGGGAUUUGGGGACAAGCUCAGCCACUCUGGAGUCAGAAGAAAUGGAGGCAGUGAUCCAGAACAAAACUAAAAAGAAGUUUUUAAAAGACCUCUCCCUGGGAGAAGGAAAGGGGGUCAAGGGUCAGGCUGCCAAAGAGAAAAGACAUAUGCCUUCUGAUGUCUUCCCUUUUAGGGAGGACUGGACCUCUGCUGAAGUGACGGCAGUUUCUGAACCACCACAAGCGGCAGCAUCGGCAAGCUACACUAUUGCUUUCACAGAGAUUUGUCUUAUAGGAGAAUUGAAUGUUUCUUCAUGUUCUUUUCUAUGCUUCUUUGAGGAGAAGCCCUGUUUAUUAUUUUGUAUGAAGACCAAGCAACACGGACUUAGGUAUUUUUCCAUAGCAGCACUAACCUGCAGAAACAUGACAAACUGCUCACUAAGUUCUUCAGGGUUCCUGUGUGAAGAACGUGACUCUGGACAAGACAGCUCUGCAGUUGAGACAGACCCUGAAGGAGCUGGAGGCUACCUGCUGACCACUCUUCCCAGCAGCUGAGAAGUGAGUCAUUUUUUGGAGUGGGAUCUUGGUGACAAACCUCCAUGUCUAUCAAAAAAGUAAGUAAUGAUAAUACCUACCUCAUGGGGUUGUGACGAGGAGUAAGUGAGUUAUUAUCUGGAAGAGUUUUUAGAAGAGCGUUUGCUGCUAUCACUGUGUGUACCUAUGUGCACGCAAGCGAAUGUAUGCAAUGCUUCUGUUCCAUCGCCAGAAUCAUGGAGAAUGACUUCUAGAAUGUAGUGAACUAAAGCGAAUGUUUCCACAUCUUAUUUACUCUCCUUCUCUGUUAGAAGGCUCAUGGGUUAUUUUAUGCGUUACUUUGUUAGGCAAUUCAGAUGGUCUUGACUUCUUUGUCUUCUGGACAUGAUGAAUGUUAGAAAUCUUUUCAAUCACCCUGGGCAGUCAUGAUAUAAACCUUGGCCUGUUUUUCCUACCAGAUGAUAAAAUGUGAAGAGUAGGAGCCUAGCAGGACUAACGAAGGAUGUGAUCUAGGUUGGGGCUCCAAGGAAAGGUUGAACAAAUUGUAAAAGGAAGCAAACACACUUCUGUGCAUUGAAUCCUCAAUUGAGACUCUGGGAGAGCAGGAGGCUCUUAGGGCUGACUUCAGUCAAGAAGCUUGGUGUUUAGGGUACACAGAAAGCCCAGCCUGGCUCUCUAGGUUGGCUGGCUUCUGAAAUUCCAGAUUCCGGUUUAUGUUCUGUCUGGGCUUUCUCAAGUGCUGUAGGCUCAAAGUGCAAAGAACUUCGCCCUUUGAAAUUGUCUGAGGUUACUUCUCAGAUUGAAUUGGGUAACAAAGGGCUCACUCUUGUUGACAAAGAACAGAAGAUGUCUGUUUCCUGGGGCAUGGUGAUUGGUACUAGGGUAUAUUCUUUUAAAGAAUGAAGCUAAGAGUAAAGGUUUUGAUUUUGGAAGAGCUUACACUCUGAAGAAAGGAGAGCACAAACUGAGAAAAAUGUGUGCAUAAAAAUAUGAACUUACAUGUGAAUGCUGAGAGAGUGAGUCUACCUCAUGGCUAGGUGAGUUCUGAAAGUGUUUUUGUGGGGAGUCUCUGAAGAGAGGAGUCUGGGAAGACUCUGAGUAAACGUUUGGAAGAAUGUUUUGAGGAGGGAAGGAGAUCAUGACUUGUUGAGAAAGAAGACCCCCUUAAGAAUUCACAAACAUGUGAAUUCCUUACAUAGUCGAACCUUGAACAACACCAGUGUUGGGGUACUGAUCCCCACACACAGUAAAAAAUUCUUGUAUAACUUUUGACUCCCUCAGAACUGAACUACUAAUAGUUUACAGUUGACCAGAAGCCUUACUAAUAACAUAAACAGUGAAGUAACACAUAUUUAGUAUGUUAUAUGUGUUAUAUCCUUACAAUAAAGUAAGCUGAAGAAAAGAAAAUGUUAUUAAA